rnacentral:lncRNA from 1 species
CCCACUGAUGUGACAGAGAUGAAAAACAAUUUUGUGCACUGGCAUUAGUAAUGGGUAUAGUAAAAAAAAAAAAAAAAGACAGCAUACAGUUCUUUUGGCACAAGCACCCCAUCCUACCCCUCCAAAAGUAUGCAGAUACUCUACAGAUUAUACCCUUCAUGAAGGGGAAGCCAGCAAUCUUGAUUUACCAAGAUGCACUGAUUCUGUGGGCACAAAUGGCAAGAUUGUGUGGCAUCUUCCCCUACCCUUGCUGAACAAAGGCUACUAUGUGUAGACAAUAUUACAUCAGCAUUGAUUUGUUAUAAAUUUUAUUUUAUUUUAAAACCUUUUUCUUUUGACACACAGUAUGCAAAAAAACAGGUUUCUCCAAGAAGCUGACAAAUGGCAAAACCCCUAGAGGCUCUAGAUCAGCUUGCUGCCAGGAUGAAGUGAUGCACAAGUAAAUAAAAAAAAAAGCAAUGUACAUUGUUGAGCACAGCAAUAUAUAUUUGACUGAUCAGUACAUACCACCAUAUCUUGUUCACCAAAGGGUCAAAACCUGGUUUAAAAGUUGAAUUAUACCUAACACAUAUUCAGUUUAUAAUAUACCCAAAAACAAUAUGGAGGAUACAGCUGAAGAUCUACAAAUGGAAAAACAUAUAUUAGUGUAAUACAGUUUAAAUAUAAUCUGUGUGCUAGCAGAGUUGCAUUUACUUCAUAAAAAUGCAUUAUUGCAUACAGAAAAAAAUAAUAAAACAAUAAAAAAUAGAUAGAGGUCCUACACUUUUUUCCUAUAUAUAGGACUUCCUUAGGGAUCAAAUAAUUAAAAACAGCAUCAAAAUAGUAAGCAGCAAAAUCAAAAAUCCGUAAGUCAAGGAAAAGCAACAUAAAACCCUCCCCCUUCUAUUUCUUCUAUUUAUAUGUUCCUUUCUUUUUUCUAAAUGGUCACUUAAGACUCCUUUGCAGCUGUAAGGCAUCUUUCCUAAUUGAAAUUCCUUAGUCUUUAAUGUUGUCAUUUCCGGUGUGCCGUGAGCAAUGGGCACUUGCCAAUGAUGCCUGCGUUUCAAAUGGUGGCCAUUUUGCGUUCCACCCAUAGUUCGCUCACGACUGCUCUAUUGCUUAGCCUUAUUCUCCACUGAACAUGGACACCAAAAACCUUUAUAAUGUCCUAUAGGUCUCAAAAUUCAUAGAACAUCAAAAGGCAAAAAACUUUACACAUAUAUUCUUAAGUACAUUGGUUUAGAGGAUCAUUUACAAGUACAUAUCUGUGUAUCAGAUAGCUAUACUCAUGUUUUUUAAAUGGAUUAUUUUCAAACCUGUCUCUUUUUUUAUGAAUUAGAUAUUUUCUGUUGUAAUAGAUCUGUUAUAUGGGCAAUUUAAACUAUUAGAUUCUUCACAGUUGAUCUGACAUGUGCUUGGAAACUUAAUUGGAAGAUGUGAAAACAUAUAUAAUCAAAGAAAUAUGUGAGAUAGCCCUUGUAAUGAACACCUUGCAUUUAGUAUGAUACGUUUGUUCGCACACUCCUGAAAUGCUAGAGGCUUGAGUGAUUAUAGCCCAUUCGCAUAGUACGCUAGUUUAUACUCUCCCAAAAUCCAAGCAGGUUGUGAGAAAAAUCAAGCAUUUCGCCGUUAGCAUACCCAAACAUCAGUCGAGACUUGAUGAAGGGUACAGCAGGAAUGUUUUAUUAUGGCCAGAUGGACCACUUUUAUACACAGACCCCCAGCAUGGGUUCUCCAGCAAAAGUAUGGUAAAACACGCCCAGGAGUCUCUGUGUCUGGGAGAUAAUUAAGUGUACUUUGCUUAAACUAAUUAUCUCCCAGGCACUAGAGGUACAAAAUAUAAAACAUAAAACACCCCAAAAUACACAUAACAUACAUAUGAACCCCAAAAAGUAUUAUAUCCUUUGGAUAGCCUGAAUCUGAGUGCCCAACAUAUCCAAAUAGCACUCAAAUCCCACGAACAAAGCCAAAUCGCCACCGGGGUAAAGUUUUGACUGACUGUACACGUGGCAUCUCCCCAAAUUAGUUCCAGAGAAACAGUGGUAGCGGUUGGUCAACUUCAGGAGUUUCAAAACGAACCAAAAGUUGAAUGGUUCCCCUGGCUCAUAGGUAGCGAUUGUUCGCCUGGUUCGUGUGAACAAUCCUACUGAACAGCGCUUGUCGUGAAAUGAAACAGGAGUUCAUACACAAUUACCAGUGUUCACAGGGUCGAGUGUCCGACUUAGAGUUCCAGACACUCAGUCACCAAGUACUGCUGUCUGCUUUAGGAAGACAAGAUUUCCAACGCUCGUGUUGUUCGGUUAUACGAAUAGCAGCCACACAGGAAGAGAACUUAAGUUUGUGGUUUUCUUGGAAGGUAAAUGAGCUAGGAGGUUGUUGGUGUUCGGUCAAUUAAUCUACCGAAUGCAGGGAAAAUUACUGGGACGAGGAAAUACAGGGUUUUGUCACAGUCCAAAUGGCAGUAUUGGCAUCUGAAUGGUUAUGAUAAAGAGAUACUUUUCUUUGUACCUCUCCACUGUAUUGUGAAUAAUAUAAAUAGAUUAAUAAUAGUAUUAAAAUAAGUAAAAAAAACAAGGAAAAAAGGGGGGGAAUUAUAAUAUACAAAAAUAAAAUAAAAAUGUGAAAUAAAUUGUGAAAAAAAAAUAUAUAUAUAGUAAACGAAAAAGAAAAAGAAAUGAAAAAUAAAUGGCAAAUUUUAAAAAAACUAAAAUUAAAUGGAAUAAAAACAGAGUAUAAAAAAUUAUUAAAUUAAAAUAAAUAAAAAUAAACAAGUGAAAAAGUAUCUGAAAAAUAUAUGUGAACUUCUAAGAGGCUAAAUCUACUUCGAAAAAAAUUAGAUAGAUCUGCAUUUUUGCCUUUGAGCUGUCCCACAUUUACAUUAUAAAAAAAACAUACAAUAUCAAUAUCAGCAUUGAGACCAAUUGAUGGAUCCAGAAGGUCUCACGCUGUGCUAGUUUUGCAUCUCUAACCCCUCUAUUUUUAUUUUUUUAUUUUAUUUUAGGAUUUUUU